GACUGUGUGGCUCAGAGGGUAGAGCGUCUGCCUGCAAUGCAGGAGACCUGGGUUCGAUCCCUGGGUCA
rnacentral:tRNA from 1 species